UCAGGCCUAACACAUGCAAGUCGAACGGUAACAUUUCUAGCUUGCUAGAAGAUGACGAGUGGCGGACGGGUGAGUAAUGCUUGGGAACUUGCCUUUGCGAGGGGGAUAACAGUUGGAAACGACUGCUAAUACCGCAUAAUGUCUACGGACCAAACGGGGCUUCGGCUCCGGCGCAAAGAGAGGCCCAAGUGAGAUUAGCUAGUUGGUAAGGUAACGGCUUACCAAGGCGACGAUCUCUAGCUGUUCUGAGAGGAAGAUCAGCCACACUGGGACUGAGACACGGCCCAGACUCCUACGGGAGGCAGCAGUGGGGAAUAUUGCACAAUGGGGGAAACCCUGAUGCAGCCAUGCCGCGUGUGUGAAGAAGGCCUUCGGGUUGUAAAGCACUUUCAGUUGUGAGGAAAAGUUAGUAGUUAAUACCUGCUAGCCGUGACGUUAACAACAGAAGAAGCACCGGCUAACUCCGUGCCAGCAGCCGCGGUAAUACGGAGGGUGCGAGCGUUAAUCGGAAUUACUGGGCGUAAAGCGCACGCAGGCGGUUUGUUAAGCUAGAUGUGAAAGCCCCGGGCUCAACCUGGGAUGGUCAUUUAGAACUGGCAGACUAGAGUCUUGGAGAGGGGAGUGGAAUUCCAGGUGUAGCGGUGUAAUGCGUAGAUAUCUGGAGGAACAUCAGUGGCGAAGGGGACUCCCUGGCCCAAGA
rnacentral:rRNA from 1 species